AGCAGUGCAUCCUCCAAAAAGAAGUAAAAGGAGGCCGCAUUUGUGAGCUGCAUUUGGAGGGGCCUUCGAACUGGGACAGCCUUCGCGCGGCAUUGUGAUGUAAUUGGCCUUCAAACGCAGCCCUCGAAGGAUGCAGACCCUGAAUUGAGCCACAGCGACUGUCUUAAGUAUAGAGAGCGUCAAUUUCUCGUGAUAACGUCACAACAUUCAUUUCCCAAGCCUGCUGAUUCCAUGAUGAUUCACAUUAAGCUUUCACCAAACUAAUGAUGGCUCAGUCUGUUCUCCAUCAUGAACCGUGAGCCACACUGGGCAGGAUGGAAGAAACGCAUGAAGACCCGCUUCAUUUACAGGAUCUGCAUGUGCACAACAUGACAGUCGGACGCUUGGAUCAGGAGGCUAAGGACCAGGCGGUGAAGGCUGAAGCAACAGACCAGAAAGGUCUCCCACAGCCACUGCAGAACCUGCUCUAAAGCCUGGGUAGCCUGGCUUCAGAAAGAGAGUCAAAUCUCCUCCACUGGUGUAGCAGAUGGCUACGAACAUGAUAGCUCAGAGCAAGAGGGAGCUGGUGAUUACAGAGGAGCUUGACCCACAGGGCAUGGGUCUCACUGACCACAAGUUCGGCAUUACUGAAGUCGCUGGGCCUGAUUCUGUCAGUUUGUGCCGCUGAACACUCAAUGAACAUGAGCCCUGAGCUGCAGUCACACCUGCAAGCCAGAUCUUCCUAGAGCUUCUACCAAUUUCCAGGCUGCUGGAAACGAUCCGGCCUGACUGCAGCUUUCUGUCACCACCCCUGCCUGAUCUCAUCCAAUUUCCAGGCAAAGUAUUGUUCAUCUUGAGCAAGCCUAUAGUGUUAGCAGAUGGAAUUGAGACUUGAAGGUUAAGACUUGAAACUUGUGUGACUUACUCCCACCUCUUAUAUUUGUGGACAUGAGCUACUAUCUCUAAAGCCACAACCCAGAGAAGUAAUAUUUCUGAACUGUAGGAAUAACAUGUAUGAAUUCCUUAAUUGGUCAUAGUUCCCUGUUUGCAGUAAUGUAUUAUGAAAGACAUUGAACUGAUGCAUGUAUAAAACUGGUAUUGCUUCUGUUUGAUGACUGUUGAAGUAAUCUGAAUGUGAAAAAAAUAAAGACAUUCUAGCAAAAUA